CUUCUCGCGUGGAUGACUAGGCAUGUUUUUGCAGUCAAUCGACUGCAAUCCGGUUUUGUUAUUCCGCUGUCUUACUUGCUUGACGCAUGGCUUUACAUACCCAUACCACUUGGAAUUGCAGGUAGUAGGCAAGGGUGUUCAUCCCCAUGAGCAUAGAUAAACUCUGGGAUUGGCGGUGAACGAACGUUGCCAACAACGCUGCAGCUUCAAGUAAGCAGGGGAUAUCGCUUACUGCCA
rnacentral:sRNA from 1 species